rnacentral:rRNA from 1 species
GAUGAACGCUAGCGGCAGGCCUAACACAUGCAAGUCGAGGGGUAGAGGAAGCUUGCUUCCUUGAGACCGGCGCACGGGUGCGUAACGCGUAUGCAAUCUACCUUUUACAGAGGGAUAGCCCAGAGAAAUUUGGAUUAAUACCUCAUAGUAUUUUCGAAUGGCAUCAUUUGAUUAUUAAAGUUCCAACGGUAAAAGAUGAGCAUGCGUCCUAUUAGCUAGAUGGUAAGGUAACGGCUUACCAUGGCAACGAUAGGUAGGGGUCCUGAGAGGGAGAUCCCCCACACUGGUACUGAGACACGGACCAGACUCCUACGGGAGGCAGCAGUGAGGAAUAUUGGACAAUGGGCGCAAGCCUGAUCCAGCCAUGCCGCGUGCAGGAAGACGCAUCUAUGGUGUGUAAACUGCUUUUGUACGGGAAGAAACACUCCCUCGUGAGGGAGCUUGACGGUACCGUAAGAAUAAGGAUCGGCUAACUCCGUGCCAGCCGCCGCCGUAAUAC